UGAAACAUCUAAGUACCCGGAGGAAAGGAAAUCAAUUGAUACUCCCCUAGUAGCGGCGAGCGAACGGGGACCAGCCGAGCCAUGAGUGUGAUUAGAAUGCGUUGGAAUGCGCAACCAAAGUGGGUGACAGUCCCGUAUAAGAAGCAUGAUUGGACGUAUUAAGUAGGGCGGGACACGUGAAAUCCUGUCUGAAGAUCGGAGGACCACCUUCGAAGGCUAAGUACUCCUUACUGACCGAUAGUGAACCAGUACCGU
rnacentral:rRNA from 1 species